UCUUGCUCUGCCUCCUCCCACACCAGAAGUGAGCAUCAGGUGGUGGCGAGCGCGUAGACAGGGUGAAAGGUGUGAGGGUUAGCGACAGAUCUGCGUAUUCACCUUGCUGGUCACCGGCCACCACCACCUCGGCGCCAAUGAAUUUUCUGUCGCGAGCCCCGCUAACGGCUUGCCGCUGAAAACUCUGGGAAAUGUAGUUAGGCGCGAGCAAGCUGUCGUUAGUUGCAGGUCUGAGGCGGGAACCGGGGCUCCUCAUGUGUUCGCGGCUCGGUUCAGCCUUCCACGGCCCCCCCCGGUGAUGUGACUCUGGGUUAACCGUCUAGUUCCUUCACGUUGUCCGGAAUAGCAGAAUGGAUCCUGGUGAUCGGAGCAAUUAGGUGCUGUCCAUGGGCUGGGGAGAUGACACAGGGGUCCAUCACUAAAAAAAAAAAGAAGAGUGGGAGAGUGAAAGGACCAGCCAUGUAAAGGUGCUUACCACCGAGCCGGACAGCCUGACGUCAGAGUCAAUCCCCAGCACCCACACACGGAACAAAGCAAGGGCUCCUGAAGUUCUGCCAUUCCCCGUGGUCUGCAGUUCAGGAAGCUUCUGGAACAUGCGGCGCCUCUGCCAUGGAAACACGAUCCGCGUCGUCAGCUUCAGAUGUGAUCUUGGAACGCUGGGUUCGCCUUGGCAGCUGUCUGAAAGUUAAUCCUGUGAAGGGACCUGAAGCAGCCCUCUGAGGAAGCCUCGCGCACCCCUGCCGAAGAACAUCGCAGUGUGUUCAUUCCCCUUCCGUUGGCCUCAGGAUCCAAGCAGGAAAGAAGAGGGAAGAACUCUGAAGGACAUGAGAGGGACCCAGCUUACAGUCCAGGAAAGGCAGCCCCUCCUCUCAGCAGGUGUGUGAGCUGAAGGGACCCAAGGAACUAACCAGAGAGGACCAGUGGGCAACCGUCAGUCUGGAUUCCCAGCCCCCGAGUAGAUUUGUGGCCAGCCUGGUGUGGAAGGAAGCUGGAAGCCACCUGAAUAGUGGUUCGUUGCCAGCAUCAACCGGCUCACAUUACAGCAGCCUAGCUCCUUCCUAGGUACCCCCUUGGGCCACUGCUCUAUUGCUUCUUAUCUUUGUGUGUUUGGGAGGGGUGUGUGUGUGUCUGUCUGUCUGUGUGUCUUUGUGUGUUUGGGAGGGGGAUAUGUGUGUCUGACUGUAUAUGUCUGUGUGUCUCUGUGGGUGUGUGUCUGUGUGUGUGUGUGUGUGUGUGUCUGUGUGUCUCUGUAUAUAUGUGUGUGUCUGUGUGUGUGUGUUUGUGUGUCUCUGUAUGUGUGUGUGUGUCUCUGUGUCUGUGUCUGUGUGUCUCUGUAUGUGUGUGUGUCUGUGUGUGUCUGUGUGUGUCUGUGUCUGUGUGUCUAUGUGUCUAUGUGUGUGUCUGUGUGUCUCUGUAUGUGUGUGUGUGUCUCUGUGUGUGUGUCUGUGUGUCUCUGUAUAUAUGUGUGUGUGUCUGUGUGUCUCUCUGUGUGUGUCUGUGUGUGUGUGUCUCUGUAUGUAUGUGUGUGUGUGUGUGUGUGUCUCUGUGAGUGUGUGUGUCUGUGUGUUUCUGUAUGUGUGUGUGUGUCUGCAGGCUUAGCACAUGCUUGCUUUUGGGAGUUGACUCUUUCUACUGUGGGUCCUGGUAUCAAAUUCAGGUUGUCAGACUUUUCUCAGCAAGUGCCUUUGCUCACUGAGCCAUCUCGCCGGUCCGUUUUUCUUCUUUUUUACUCUUGUAUUACAUUUCCCCUGUUAUGAACAAAAGCUAAAAUAUUAGUGUGAGAAAACUUUUUACUGUUGCUAUUUUACAAGAACCAUGGGUGGACAUUUGAAUACCUGUGGAACACCUGCUGACUAGAUGAACAUGCAUGUAUGUGUUUAUUUAUGUAUUUUCCCCGUUGAUCACCCUAGAGGAUUCUCAGGCCACUAAACCCUGGCAUGGGGUUACUAGAAAAGACUAUCAGCAGGCCCAGUCUUGCUCGUCUAGGCAAUACUGCUCUCAGCCACAAGAGGGCGAUAUUUGUCCAUGAAUGUCCCUCACAAAGCCUGCUUUAAACCUCACCAGCUUUUCCUGCCCCCUCCAGGGGACAGAAAGAAACCAGUGAGUGUUUUAUCCAGGUCACCCUGAGCCACUCCCCACUCAGCCUGCUCUCUGUACCAAUAAGAAACCACCUUGGGAGUGGGCAUGAGGGCUCAUACAGUGAGAUAGCCAUACCUGCUUCCUCUGUGUCAACAUGGGCUGCUCCACGCACUUUCACCAGAUAGCAGAGGUUGCUCUGACGAUAUUUACAAGUAACCCAUCCACUGCAGCGGCUUCUGGAACACACAGCGGCCAGGCCUUCCUGCUGAUCGCAGGCAAGCAGAGUUCCUGGGGAUGAGGCAUCAGGAGCCCUCACAAGACCAAGGCAAGGAACUAAAGAAAGAACCCAGAGCCCGGUGGCGGUGGCACACACCUUUCACCCCAGCACAUGGGAGGCAGAGGCAUGCAGAUCUCUGAGUUCAAGGACAACCAGGGCUACAUGGAGAAACCCUGUCUCAAAAAACCACCGAAAGGAUGGAGAUUUUACUGUGUAAUAAAGAGGAGAGAGAGGCUAUGAAGGAGACAUGUAGCCCAGCAGGAGAAGGAUGUUUUGGGAAGCACAGGCCUAGAUUCUUCUCUUAUGUACAGGGUUGGAGACUCUUAGUGGACCCCAAGGGUCACCUGUGCAGGACUGUGUGUCAUCUGGAGCUCUCUGUCCCAAAGACACUAGUGUCCCUUAAACCUAGCCUUUCUGUUUCCACCCUCCCUGCCUGCUUCUCGCCCUGGCUGUCUUUGUUUACUAUAAAGUCCCAGGUGACCUUGAAGUCCCAGUCUUCCAGAUGCUGAGGUCACAGGGAUGCAUCGCUGUGCCAGGUUUAUGUGGUGCUAUGGAUAGAACCCAGGACCCAGGGAGCCUCAUGGGGGAGCCAGGCGCCAAUAUUUGAAAGUGUCUUUUGCAUUCUCCACGGAGUCUUCAAGUGCUGCAACACUGAGGGAAGGGCCGUGCCUAGUAGCUGUGUGUCACUAUGGACUCUGUGGUAUAGGAGAUGGGCUCUGGCCAGUUGCCUUUGAAGAUGAACUUCGUUUCCAGAUAGUUUUCACACAGGGCGGUAGGAGAUUUCUUACUGCUACACCUUCCACCCUAGCCCUGACCCUCGCCACCAGGCCGCCCAGCCAUAUUAGCUCAGAAGAUCCAUAAAGGGGCUGGAGCCCCAGUCCCCUCCCCUCUGCUUGAAGAUGUUAUUAAUUAGAGUUGUGCUAGGAUGCAGGAAUGACCUUGGGAAGGGGCACUUGGUGACUAAGCAAGAAUGGGCACGGGUGUGCUGACUCACCACACCCAGCUUGCAGGGGAGGCUGACUGAGGACCACCCUCAGGGUGACCUUGGAGGUCUGCAGGCUCAGCUCCCGCAUUGCCUAGUCCUAUACCUGUCGGGGAAAUGGUAACUUCGGAACUUAGUAGGCAGACAGUUUCUGGAGGUAACAUAGAGACAUGAAGGGGUACACUGAGCUGGUCCCCAAGGGGGCCCCAGGUGAAGGUCACAGCCCUUCCUUUUCGCCUACGGCUGAGUUCUGGGUCCCACCAAGAAUAGAACUCCCCUUCCUCGUUGGCUAUGAAAAUGUCUUAAUGUCUCUAAAUCCCAAGUUGCCUUAUGGCCACAGCCCUGCUUCCAACCUUCUUCUAAAGCAAGUACGUUAAGAGAUGGAGAUGUCGCUCAAUUGGUAAGGUGCUUGCCUAGCGUGCACAGAGAAGCCCUGGCUCCCUUUUGCAAUUCUUCAGAAACCAGGUGUGGUGGUGCAUUCUUGUAAUCCCAGUACUUGGGAACAUGUGGGCAGGCCGCAUCGGGAUCUGUUGUCUCCAGUGUACCGGACGCUGGCUGGAAAUUAGUUGCUAGGAUGUAAUCUGUGCUGAGUCUCUAGGACAGUGUCUCCAGUCGGACCUAGAAUGACUGUCCUGAGCCACAUUCAACAAGAAAUAGCACAAAGGGGUAGAAGAGACAGAGGUGGAGAAAGUGCAGGUUCUGAAGGGACAGAUGAAAGGUAAUCCAGGUUCAUUCUAAAGUGGGCAGGGCUUCCAGGGGCCUUCUCAAGACAUCAGUCUAGAGACCUGUAAAGAUCUACACCCUUGCUGAUCUUGGCAGCACACACCUGUAACCCCAGCAAGGCAGGGCACCCAAGAGUUCAAAGUCAUCCUUGGCUACAAAGUGAGUGUGAGACUAGCCUGGGUAUCAUAGUUGAAGUCCUUCCUCAAAACAAACAAACAAACAAAAGCUGUUUAGGCCCCGGGCUGUGUUUCUCAUUGCCCUACUCCCUGGUCUGAGGUUAUCGGCAGGGCUCCCAGCUGUUGAGCCAGCUGUGUCUUCAUUGAGGUCCCUGACUGGCAUUCUGUCAUCCCCCAUCUGUGUGAGAGGAUCUCUUUUUGGGUUUUUUGUUUGGUUGGUUGGUUGGUUUGGUUUGGUUUUUUGAGACAGGGUUUCUCUGUGUAGCCCUGGCUGUCCUGGAACUCACUUUGUAGACCAGGCUGGUCUCGAACUCAGAGAUCCACUUGCCUCUGCCUCCCAAGUGCUGGGAUUAAAGGCGUUCGCCACCACGCCAGGCGAGAGGAUCUCUUAAGUGUACCUAAUUUGCAAGUGCUCACAGUGACCUGUGGGUCCCAGGCAGCGACUCAUUGAAUCUUCUCAACAAGCUUUGAAAUAAGUCUUUUGUGGCCUCCUGUUACAACUGAGGGAGAUAGAUGUAGAGAGCUUCCCUCAGCUCUCUGAUCCACGCAACUCCUGAGUGGAGGAGCCAGGACUCAAAUCUGUAUCUUCCCUGCAUCCAUGACCUAAAAAGUCCUAGUGUUGGGUUGCAGGAGUUUCACUUACAUUUGCUAGGAUAAGCAGCCCGAUUUCUGGACUCUGUGGCCCUUUAAAAAUCCUGCUGCUUCUACAAUCUCUUCUUUAGCCUGCCCAAACCUAUCUAAUGCUUUACAGGAACAUGUGUGCCCGUGAGAGACAUGAGCUAAGGCAAUGAGAAGCUGUGACGCAGAUUCUGACACCAGCCCUCAGUACAUACCUUGUGCACCCCACAUGGUAUAAGGAGCUGGGUCUAGGUGCUAAGGCCAGCAGCUCACGGGCAAAGUGAGUCUCAGCCUGUAAAGAGAACAAGGCAGAUGUGCCUCCAGAGAGAAAAAAAGAACACAUGGAGAUGAAAUCCGGGCUUGGGGGCAAAGAGGAACCGUUUAAAUGUGUGUGUGCCUUGUGAAAGAAUUACACUCCCCGCCCCACCAUCACCAGAUGUGAUGACAGUACUUACAUAAGGUACUGUAUGUAGAUUGAACUCUGGACCUCACACAUUCUGGAAAGGGCUCUCCCACUAAGCCACAUCCCCAGCCCCUCACUGGGAUUCUGGGCAGGCGCUCUACUGCUGAGUCACGUCCCCAACUCUCUUUUGACUUAAUUUUGAGACUAGGUCUUACUGAGUUGCCUAGGCUGGCCUGAAUCUCACUCUGUAGCCCAGGCUGGCCUUGGACUCACAUUUUUCCCCCUGCUUAGCCUGCUGAGCCCCUGGGAUCAUAGACUUGCCUAGUUAUACCCAUUUGCUGCUGCAGCUAAUACCUUUAAACCAGUCUCCCCCCACCCCAGAAAACCUUCCUAGCUUAGUAUUAUCUUAAAUUCAGUGAAGAGAACAGCAGCUUUUCCCUGUUCCUCCACAUGAGGGCGCUACACCACUCAGCCAUGGGGUGAUGUGUUCAAGCCUCUCCCACAACCUUUAUGGGUGCAUUUCUUUUCUGUGUAUUCUCUAAUGAGAAGCACUGGGCCACCUCUGCAUGGUUUUUCUUGCCAAUUUCUCUUGUAGCCCUCUCUCCCAGCAGACAACCACAUUCAGCACACCCCUCACUUGUGCACUGCCAUGGCCGUCCGUUCCUUGUGACCAGCCAGAUGACUUAGAUAAUAGGGGAGUUUGAAAUGAAUGAGCUGAUACUAUCUGUAGGUUAGGAUUCUGACCAAAAGGUCUUCAGGGCUCUAGGGGAAGGGAUUAAUUGAAAUACCUUCCCGAGCAUAGGGCUUUUCUCCAGUGUGAAUUCUCUGACGUUGAAUGAGUUUCAUGAAUCUUGAAAGCCAUCACGUGGUCACUGUUGUUGGUAGAUUUCUGUUGUGCAAAAGUAGCCAGGGUGCUUGGAUGCUGGCUGCCUCCUCCCACACCCUCGGGACACUCUCAGGUGAAUGUUGGAGCAGUGUUAGGAAACUGCUUUGUGUUCCUAACAGUCGAUAUUGGUUCCUGCUGUUACAACUGUUACAAUGUUAAAUAAAUAAACUUGAUCCAGACUCA
rnacentral:lncRNA from 1 species